UAGUCCACGCCGUAAACGAUGUCUACUAGCCGUUGGAAGACUUGAUCUUUCAGUGGCGCAGUUAACGCGAUGAGUAGACCGCCUGGGGAGUACGGCCGCAAGGUUAAAGCUCAAAUGAAUUGACGGGGGCCCGCACAAGCGGUGGAGCAUGUGGUUUAAUUCGACGCAACGCGAAGAACCUUACCAGGUCUUGACAUCCUGUGAACUUUCUAGAGAUAGAUUGGUGCCUUCGGGAACACAGUGACAGGUGCUGCAUGGCUGUCGUCAGCUCGUGUCGUGAGAUGUUGGGUUAAGUCCCGUAACGAGCGCAACCCUUGUCCUUAGUUGCCAGCAUGUUGUGAUGGGAACUCUAAGGAGACUGCCGGUGACAAACCGGGAGGAAGGUGGGGGACGACGUCAAGUCAUCAUGGCCCUUACGGGCCUGGGGCUACACACGUGCUACAAU
rnacentral:rRNA from 1 species